CCUACGGGGAGCAGCAGUGGGGGAUAUUGCACAAUGGGGGAAACCCUGAUGCAGCGACGCCGCGUGGGGGAAGACGGUCCUCUGGAUUGUAAACCACUGUCCCCAGGGACGAAGAUGACGGCACCGGGGGAGGAAGCUCCGGCUAACUACGUGCCAGCAGCCGCGGUAAGACGUAGGGAGCGAGCGUUGUCCGGAAUUACGGGGUGUAAAGGGAGCGGAGGCGGGACUGCAAGUUGGGUGUCCAAUCUACCGGCUCAACCGGUAGCCGCACUCAAAACUGCAGUUCUUGAGUGAAGUAGAGGCCGUCGUAAUUCCUUGUUUAGCGGUGAACUGCGUAGAUAUUAGG
rnacentral:rRNA from 1 species